CGCUGGCGGCGUGCUUAACACAUGCAAGUCGAACGGGAUCCCUGGCGCUUGCUGCCGGGGUGAGAGUGGCGAACGGGUGAGUAAUGCGUGACCGACCUGCCCCAUGCACCGGAAUAGCUCCUGGAAACGGGUGGUAAUGCCGGAUGUUCCACAUGAGCGCAUGCGAGUGUGGGAAAGGCUUUUGCGGCAUGGGAUGGGGUCGCGUCCUAUCAGCUUGUUGGUGGGGUAACGGCCUACCAAGGCGUUGACGGGUAGCCGGCCUGAGAGGGCGACCGGCCACAUUGGGACUGAGAUACGGCCCAGACUCCUACGGGAGGCAGCAGUGGGGAUAUUGCACAAUGGGCGCAAGCCUGAUGCAGCGACGCCGCGUGCGGGAUGGAGGCCUUCGGGUUGUAAACCGCUUUUGUUCAAGGGCAAGGCACGGUUUCGGCCUUUCGAAUAAGCACCGGCUAACUCGUGCCAGCAGCCGCGG
rnacentral:rRNA from 1 species